UGUAAUUUAUUUGAUAUCCAACAGACCAAAUACAUCAUGUACGUGUUAAACAUGGCACUGCUGUUGCUGUCACCACUAAAACAAACACAAAGAAGACAGAAGGAUUUUCAUGUUCAUCAUGUGAGAAAAAGUUUUCCUCUGUAUUAAAACUUCAAAUGCAUGAGAUCAAGCAUACUGUUACUAAGCCUCCUUACCAAUGCCAGGAAUGUUCUCAAAGUUUCCCAACACUGAGUACUCUAAAACGGCACUACCUAAUUCACUGGGACCUGAGACCAUUCUCUUGCUUCACAUGCAGCAAGAGCUUUAGGUA